rnacentral:rRNA from 1 species
GACGGAGGAUGCAAGCGUUAUCCGGAAUGAUUGGGCGUAAAGCGUCCGCAGGUGGCAGUUCAAGUCUGCUGUCAAAGACCGGGGCUUAACUUCGGAAAGGCAGUGGAAACUGAACAGCUAGAGUAUGGUAGGGGCAGAGGGAAUUCCGUGGUGUAGCGGUGAAAUGCGUAGAGAUCAGGAAGAACAUCGGUGGCGAAGGCGCUCUGCUGGACCAUAACUGACACUCAGGGACGAAAGCUAGGGGAGCGAAUGGG